rnacentral:lncRNA from 1 species
UAUAUAUUUUAAAAGUGUCAAAAUGCAUAGAAUUUUCAAAGCUUAACAAUACAUUAACUGUUGAUAACAGAAAAAGAAACGUGAUUUUUUUUUUUUUUUUUUUAGUUCAAGAUGUGCAAUUAUUGAUUCCAGAUGGUUUUUCUGCAGUUAAAAACAGUAUGACAACUUUUGAAGCAUGAGGAGCUAUUGCUCAUG